UACGUAGGGACCGAGCGUUGUCCGGAUUCAUUGGGCGUAAAGAGCUCGUAGGCGGCCACUCAAGUCGAAUGUGAAACCUCGAGGCUCAACCUCGAGCCUGCAUUCGAUACUGGGCGGCUAGAGUCUGGUAGGGGGAUCUGGAAUUCCUGGUGUAGCGGUGGAAUGCGCAGAUAUCAGGAGGAACACCGGUGGCGAAGGCAGCACUCUGGGCCGGUACUGACGCUGAGGAGCGAAAGCUAGGGGAGCGAACAGG
rnacentral:rRNA from 1 species